GACGAACGCUGGCGGCGUGCUUAACACAUGCCAGUCGAACGGAAAGGCCCCUUUCGUGUUCCUCGAGUGGCGGACGGGUGAGUAACACUUACGUAACCUGCCCUUGACUUCGGGAUAACUUCAGGAAACUGGGGCUAAUACCGGUUAGGCAUCCUUGCUUCAUGGAGAGGGUUGGAAAGCUUGCGCGGUUUUGGCUGGACUCGCGGCUUAUCAGCUGGUUUGUGGGGUAGUGGCUUACCAAGGCGUUGACGGGUAGCCGGCAUGAGAGGGCGACCGGCCACAAUGGGACUGCGAGACGGCGCAGAAUCCUACGGGAGGCAGCAGUGGGGAAUAUUGCACAACGGGCGGAAGUCUGAUGCAGCAACGCCCCGUGCGGGAUGACGGGCUUCGGGUGGUAAACCGCGUUCAGCAGGGGCGAAGCUUGUGGUGACGGUACCUGCAGAAGAAGCACCGGCUAACUACGUG
rnacentral:rRNA from 1 species